UUUCAGAAGCAUUUAAUUCAACAUAGCGAGUUAAAAUAAGGCUUAGUCCGUAAUCAACUUUUCAAGUGGCGCUGUUUCGGCGCUUUUUUU
rnacentral:sRNA from 1 species